rnacentral:lncRNA from 1 species
AGAGACCACAAGAUAAGAAGGACCUCCCCUCAGCCCCCCAUCCCAUGCUGCUGGCUUGGAGGAACGGGACACAAGCCAGGAAUACAAGGUUCUUAUAGAAGCUGGAAAGGGAAAGCUUCAGCGAAAUAGUUCUUUCCUGGGAUUCCCACAAGAUACACAGGUUUGUUUCCCUGCCUGACAGCUGCAGACAUCCCUCACGUGUAGAUUCUAUAAGAAGACCAGGACGUAGAGUAGCAUUGGAGAUAGGAGUGUGUGGGAGUGUGUGCUGGAGGGAGGUAGGAAGGAGAAAGCUCCAGUGUUCUGCACCACGGGGGUCGUGGUGGCUACAGCUCACAAGAACCAUCUAGUUUAUGAAUAACUGGAAGGGAGAAGCUUAAAGGCUACAAAUACAAGGUGAUGCUAAACCAG